rnacentral:rRNA from 1 species
GACAGAGGCCUCGAGCGUUAGGCGGAAUCACUGGGCUUAAAGCGCGCGUAGGCGGCGCGGUAUGUCGUGCGUGAAAUCUCCCGGCUUAACUGGGAGGGGCCGUGCGAAACUGCCGGGCUUGAGGUCGGAAGGGGAAAGUGGAAUUCCGGGUGUAGUGGUGGAAUACGUAGAUAUCCGGAGGAACACCAGCGGCGAAGGCGGCUUUCUGGUCCGAUACUGACGCUGAGGUGCGAAAGCGUGGGGAGCGAUCCGG